AAUUUUAAGGUCAAGCUACAAAGGGCGCAUGGUGAAUGCCUUGGCACUAGGAGCCGAAGAAGGACGCGAUAAGCUGCGAUAAGCCUUGGGUAGCCGCAAAUAGGCUGAGAUCCAGGGAUUUCCGAAUGAGGAAACUCACAUGGGUAACCCCAUGUAUCAUGCACUGAAUACAUAGGUGUAUGAGGGUAAACCCGGGGAACUGAAACAUCUAAGUACCCGGAGGAAGAGAAAGAAAAUCGAUUUCCUAAGUAGCGGCGAGCGAACGGGAAAGAGCCCAAACCAGAAACUUGUUUCUGGGGUUGUGGAUAGAUCGUAAAAGAAGAGGUAUCUUAAUCGAAGAGGGCUGGAACGCCCUACCAUAGAAGGUAAUAGUCCUGUAGAUAAAAGGAGAAAACUUCGAGAUCUAAUCCAGAGUACCACGAGACACGUGAAACCUUGUGGGAAGCAGGGA
rnacentral:rRNA from 1 species